rnacentral:rRNA from 1 species
GACGAACGCUGGCGGCGUGCUUAACACAUGCAAGUCGAACGGAAAGGCCCUGCUUUUGUGGGGUGCUCGAGUGGCGAACGAGUGAGUAACACGUGGGUAACCUGCCCUUGACUUUGGGAUAACUUCAGGAAACUGGGGCUAAUACCGGAUAGGAGCUCCUGCUGCAUGGUGGGGGUUGGAAAGUUUCGGCGGUUGGGGAUGGACUCGCGGCUUAUCAGCUUGUUGGUGGGGUAGUGGCUUACCAAGGCUUUGACGGGUAGCCGGCCUGAGAGGGUGACCGGCCACAUUGGGACUGAGAUACGGCCCAGACUCCUACGGGAGGCAGCAGUGGGGAAUAUUGCACAAUGGGCGGAAGCCUGAUGCAGCAACGCCGCGUGCGGGAUGACGGCCUUCGGGUUGUAAACCGCUUUCGCCUGUGACGAAGCGUGAGUGACGGUAAUGGGUAAAGAAGCACCGGCUAACUACGUG